rnacentral:tRNA from 1 species
GCCUGGGUGGCUCAGCGGUUGAGCGUCUGCCUUUGGCUCAGGUCCUGAUCCCUUGGGUCCUGGGAUCAAGUCCCACAUCAGGCU